UACGUAGGGUGCAAGCGUUAAUCGGAAUACUGGGCGUAAAGCGUGCGCAGGCGGUGAUGUAAGACAGAUGUGAAAUCCCCGGGCUUAACCUGGGAACUGCAUUUGUGACUGCAUCGCUGGAGUGCGGCAGAGGGGGGGAUGGAAUUCCGCGUGUAGCAGUGAAAUGCGUAGAUAUGCGGAGGAACACCGAUGGCGAAGGCAAUCCCCUGGGCCUGCACUGACGCUCAUGCACGAAAGCGUGGGGAGCAAACAGG
rnacentral:rRNA from 1 species